rnacentral:rRNA from 1 species
ACGAACGCUGGCGGCGUGCUUAACACAUGCACGUCGCACGGAAAGGCCCUGCUUUUGUGGGGUGCUCGAGUGGCGAACGGGUGAGUAACACGUGAGUAACCUGCCCUUGACUUUGGGAUAACUUCAGGAAACUGGGGCUAAUACCGGAUAGGAGCUCCUGCUGCAUGGUGGGGGUUGGAAAGUUUCGGCGGUUGGGGAUGGACUCGCGGCUUAUCAGCUUGUUGGUGGGGUAGUGGCUUACCAAGGCUUUGACGGGUAGCCGGCCUGAGAGGGUGACCGGCCACAUUGGGACUGAGAUACGGCCCAGACUCCUACGGGAGGCAGCAGUGGGGAAUAUUGCACAAUGGGCGGAAGCCUGAUGCAGCAACGCCGCGUGCGGGAUGACGGCCUUCGGGUUGUAAACCGCUUUCGCCUGUGACGAAGCGUGAGUGACAGUAAUGGGUAAAGAAGCACCGGCUAACUACGUG